ACAUUGUUUUGUAACACUUCUCAUUGUUCCUCUAUGAUUUUUAUACCUUUUCAUCAUUUGAAUUAACACUGAAUAUAUCCACAUUUUUUUAUAUAGCUUGAGACAGUGACAAAUCCAAAAGUUGUCUUAGGUGCAAUAUAGUUGUUGGCCGAGAGAGCAAAUAAUAGCCUAAUUGACUAUCAUGACGCUUGGCAUUUCUUGAAAGUGUUGGAAUUAUAAAACCCACAUUUUAAAACGUUAAUUUGCCAUAACAUUCAUUUUAUCAUUUUCGUUUCUAGGGUGUCAGGAAUGGAUGAUGUAGAUCAAUUGUGGUAUGACUACUAAAUAAAGGAAUGAUAAAUAGGGACAAAAUGCAAUCGAGUAAUAAAUUUGAAACUAAUCUGAAGUUCAAUAACCUAAUUGAGAUGAAAUUUUUCUUAAGUUAGUCAUCAUAGAUGAAAUUAACCCUUAUAUGUUGUUUAAUUUCUCUAUCUUGGAAUUCGUAUCAAGUCACGUUAAAAGAUUGGUUAACACAUUUAUAACAAGAACAUUUGUAAAUAGGGAUGUCAACAAGUCGAGUCGAGCCAAAACUCGAAACUCUGGCUCAACUCGAGUAAAAAUAGUUCGGAUUUUUUUUUGCUUGAGCCAGGCCAAGCUUUUGCUCAACCAAAAAAUAUAGGCUCAAACUUUAACGAGUCGAGACGGCUCUUUUUUUUUUUUUUUUUUUUAAAUCGAUUCAGCUGCCUUAUUAUACAUUGUUACUGCAGGUAGCUACUACUGCCACAUUUAUUUAUUUUUUUUAAGAUUUGCAAGUUCUAUUUUUUUCUUUUUUCUUUUUUUUUGGCUCAACUCGUUACAGGCUGGAAAUGGCCCGUGACACGGGCUAGCUCGAGGCUCUAGCCAACGCUCCCAACUGAAGCAUGACAUAUGGUUAUUUGAUUCAUGAAUCAAUAAAAAAACUACUAUAUUAAUGCAUCAAAUUAAUUAUUUGUCAUAUGUAUGUCCCAUGUACCACAAAUAUCUUUAGUCAUAUUUUAAUUAUCAACUGAGUGGCGCCUACAACAUCACACCACUCAUCACUCCAUUAAACGUACAAUAAUUUUCACUUUUUUAUACAUUAUUAUCAAUAGCAGAACAAUAUCAAUCUGGUUCCAUGGCCAAAUUUGUGGAAUUCUUAUAAUCUUAAUCAAACAAACCAAAUGGGUAAAAGGAUACAAUUUUAGACUUAGCCAAAGCUGAGACUUUUUUCUUAAAUAAUGAAAAUUAGGAGAAAAAAUAUCAAGAUCCACUAUGAAACACGAUUAUUUCAAGAAUAAAGUUAUUUGCAAUUGCUUACCAUGACAGUCGCUCUACAUGACAUGUGAUUAUUUGAUACAUGAGUCAAUAAAAAACUACUUUAUUAAUGCAUCAAAUAAUUAUCUUUCAUAUAUAUGCCAUGUACUACGUCUUUCUUAGUGAACGACUACAAAUAUCUUUAGUCAUAUUUCAAUUAUCAUCAAUUGGGCGCUCUUACACCAGUCACACCACUCAUCACUCCAUUAAACGAACAAUAAUUUCCACUUUUUUAUAGAUUAUUAUCAAUACCAGAACAACAUCAAUCUUGUUCCAUGGACAAAUUUGUGGAAUUAAUAUAAUCUUAAUCAAGCAAAUCAAAUGGGUAAAAAGAUACAAUUUUAGAUUUAGCAAAGCUGACACUUUUUUCUUAAAUAAUGGAAAACAGGAGAAAAAAUAUUAAGAUCUACUAUGGAACACGAUUAUUUCAAAAAUAAUACUAUUUGCAGACGCUCACUACGACAAUCGCUCUACGUGACAGACACAUGACAUGUGAUUAUUUGAUACAUGAAUCAAUAAAAAAAACUAUUAUAUUAAUGCAUCAAAUAAUUAUUUGUCAUAUGUAUCCCAUGUACUACGUCUAUCCUAGUCAAUGACUACAAAUUUCUUUAGACAUAUUUUAAUUAUCAACUGGGUGGUGCCUACAACAUUACACCACUCAUCACUCCAUUAAAAGUUCAUUAAUUUUCACUUUUUUAUAUCAAUAGCAAAACAAGAUCAAUCCAAUUUCAUGGACAAAUUUGUGAAAUUCGUAUAAUCUUAAUCAAACAAACCAAACAGCUAAAAAAAUACAAUUUUAGAUGUAGCCAAAGUUGACACUUUUUUCUUAAAUAAUGGAAAUCAGGAUAACAA
rnacentral:lncRNA from 1 species